AUACGUAGGUGGCGAGCAUUAUCCGGGAAUUAUUGGGCGUAAAGAGCGCGCAGGUGGUUGAUUAAGUCUGAUGUGAAAGCCCACGGCUUAACCGUGGAGGGUCAUUGGAAACUGGUCGACUUGAGUGCAGAAGAGGGAAGUGGAAUUCCAUGUGUAGCGGUGAAAUGCGUAGAGAUAUGGAGGAACACCAGUGGCGAAGGCGGCUUCCUGGUCUGUAACUGACGCUGAGGCUCGAAAGCGUGGGGAGC
rnacentral:rRNA from 1 species